ACCACAGCCAUGUCACCCUGCAGCCCAAGACUGGUUGCCCACUGAAGCUAAGCAGGGUUGAGCCUGGUCAGUACCUGGAUGGGAGACCUCCUGGGAAAACUAGGUUGCUGCUGGAA
rnacentral:rRNA from 1 species